rnacentral:lncRNA from 1 species
UCUCUCAUCAUGAUUUCACCAACCUGAAACCACCACGUGCUUUGAGAUCAUCCUCUGUGAACGUUUCUUCCUCUUUCUAUGACGCCGUUGUUGUCUACCACAACCGAACGCCAUCUGCUUUCUCUAACGCUACCUAUUCAACGUCAUCUUUGGUUUGUCACACUUAAUGCGAUCGUGACUACAAAUCUACUGAAUCUUCUUCUCCAGAAUUUCCAGCUGAUGUCGAUGCUAACUUGAAGCUCCUGCAGAACCUGAAUCACCAUUGCCUCAAACCAGAAGCCCUUUGACUCAAUCCUUAUCCAACCUCAAUAGCCCGUAGACACCAAACUCCUCAUCCUGAGAAUUUCCUUUGUAACAAUCUGAAUGAACACCUUGCCUUGAACAUCACUCUGAACCGCUGCUGUUGCCAACAGAUUCCGCCGCUUAGCUCAACUUGCUAAGAAGACUUUCGACGCAAAGAAUCUCUGCUCAACUUCUGCUCAAACAAAUCAUUACCU